GAACGCUGGCGGCGUGCUUAACACAUGCAAGUCGAACGAGAAAUCUUUAGCUUGCUAGAGAAAGUAAAGUGGCGCACGGGUGAGUAACGCGUGGGUAAUCUGCCUCCGAAUCGGGGAUAACAUUGCGAAAGCGGUGCUAAUACCGGAUAAAAUCUGGUUGGCUUCGGUGAACCGGAUCAAAGGUGGUCUCUUUAUAAAAGCUACCGUUUGGAGAUGAGCUCGCGUACCAUUAGCUAGUUGGUGAGGUAAAGGCUCACCAAGGCGACGAUGGUUAGCUGGUCUGAGAGGAUGAUCAGCCACACCGGAACUGGAACACGGUCCGGACUCCUACGGGAGGCAGCAGUGAGGAAUUUUGCGCAAUGGGGGAAACCCUGACGCAGCAACGCCGCGUGAGUGAUGAAGGCUUUCGGGUCGUAAAGCUCUGUCAGGUGGGAAGAACCCACCAAGUGUUAAGACCACUUGGUGCUGACGGUACCACCGAAGGAAGCACCGGCUAACUCCGUGCCAGCAGCCGCGGUAAUACGGGGGGUGCGAGCGUUAUUCGGAAUCAUUGGGCGUAAAGGGCGCGCAGGCGGUUUUGUAAGUCAGAUGUGAAAUCCCGGGGCUUAACCCCGGAAGUGCAUAUGAAACUAUGAGACUUGAGUAUGGGAGAGGGAAGCGGAAUUCCUGGUGUAGCGGUGAAAUGCGUAGAUAUCAGGAGGAACACCGGUGGCGAAGGCGGCUUCCUGGACCAAUACUGACGCUGAGGCGCGAAGGCGUGGGGAGCGAACAGGAUUAGAUACCCUGGUAGUCCACGCAGUAAACGUUGAUCACUAGGUGUAGCGGGUAUUGACCCCUGCUGUGCCGGAGUUAACGCAUUAAGUGAUCCGCCUGGGGAGUACGAUCGCNAGAUUAAACUCAAAGGAAUUGACGGGGGCCCGCACAAGCGGUGGAGCAUGU
rnacentral:rRNA from 1 species